GUGAGCCGAGAUCACGCCACUGCACUCCAGCCUGGGCGACAGAGUGAGACUCUGUCUCAAAAAAAAAAAGUCACGAGAACUGUCUGGAAAUGUGAGCAAUUUCAAGCGAGAGAUUAGUUGUUUUACAAAGUUCAUUAAAAUAUGCAUCAACCAUUCUUCAUCUCUUUGAAUAAAGAGUCAGGAAAGCCUCCCUGGAUGAAGAAGCUGUAAACUGGGCCUUAUGAUUAGAGCGGUUAUAUGCAUAUGGCAAAAGGAGAGAAGCUAUUCCAGGUAAAAGCCACAAAAAUAAAGGCAGAAAGUUGGGAAUUCAGAAUCAACAAAGGAGCAGCAACCAUUCAGUCUGGCUGACUUCUCAUCUCAUUUUUGAUAGAGUGGGUUAGGGAUGAGGUAGAGGUAUGGAAAGAAAAGAGGAUAGUUAUAAGUGACUAAUAAAUGUUUGUUGCCAAGGACCACCACAGAAUCCUCAUUAUUUGGAAGCUCCUUUAUGGAAUAUGCUUUGAAAUUUAGGGUGUUCUACAACUACCCCACCACACAGGGCUAGUCCUGUAAGUUUCAAUUAUCUGAAGUUAUUCUAGUUACACAGGAAUGCACAAUAUUAAAAUUAACAGAUAUUGAGGCCAAAUAAUCAACAAUAGCUGGAAGCAUGUACCUUGGAAAGAUAUGUCCUCAUUUUGAAAUUGAAUCCCAGACAAAACUCCUGGAAUUUCAGGUUUGGUUACAAAUAUUGAACUUGUAUGAAGUUCACCGAAGUUCAUUUCCAUGGAGCCUGGAGUGAGUUAGGCAUAAAUCAUAACCAGCCGAGGUGGAAGCCCAUAUGCAUACAUUCAUAGGUACAGACAGACAAACCCCAGUCCUUCAUAGCUUCAGAUGGAAACCAUAUGAAAUGUCAUGGCCUUGCACAGCUUCAGCCAGAAGCCUGGGCAGCUCUGUGCCUUCCGCUGGGGCUCUCUCAGUGGUUUUAUUUCCGAUUGAUCCUGAGUGUAUAGCAGGGUGCCCAACCUGCCCAUGGAAACUAAGAAGCUUGAGGAAAUAGCUGGGUCGAAACUAUGAAACUGUGCUCACUGUUCAAACCUAUGUUCUGUAAAAUUUACAACAGAUUCAGUCACCUCACAUUUCCAUGUAAAUUACUGCUCGAGAGGGAAGCUUGUCUUGCUGGGGCUUCCACUGUUGAAUUUUUAAAAUUGACAACACCUUCUGUUCCUAGCUGGAAUUAUGAGACAAAGAAAAAAGAGAACGAGAGGGAGAAAAUGUUCUAUCUUACUUCAACAGGCUCCGUUUUAUUGCAGUGCCAAAAUUUUUGAUCCACUGCAACAAACCAGAGACGACUUAACCAGGAUGACAAGGGUAUUACAAACUAGAAACUAGAGGAGUUUCACCUGAAAAUUGGGAGAUUUUGAGGUAACUUGAACAUAAUCUUCAAUAGAAAGCUAAUUCACUCUCAAUAUACAAAUUUUUGAAUACUUAAUAAAACAUAUAUAUCCUUCUGAAUGGAAAAAAUACAAGGUGACAGGGAAAAAUACAUUUCUUCUCUUCCAAUGUCCUCCAGCCUCCCAGCUACCUUUCCCAGGGGCAAUCACAAUGACCUUUUUUUUUUUUCUAGAGGUUACCCACAUGUUUAUAAACUUGUAUGUAUAAACUAUUUCAGUUUUGGAGCUCUUUCCAUUUCAGUUUAUGAGGAGAACUUCGACUCUGACAUGGUGUAAGUCUGCAUUCCAUUUCAAGCUGACAUGGCAAUGCCAGACUGCAAAAUGUAUGGAAUGUGAAGGAGCAGUCCUGGGAAGCCACCUGGGGCCUGUGGGAUUUCCAGGUCAUCAGAAUAUCUCUUGCUUUCUCCCUGGGGUAGUCUGACCCAGGAUUUGAAAAGUAUUAACCUUUUAGCUAUUAAGAACACGUCUACACUUUUGAGUUUAAUCUAAACAUCUGAAAGAUGUUGGGUGGUCCCUGGUGAUUCAUUUCAAGUGCUUUGAGUUUAAAAAUGCAGUUGAAGAUGAGAAAGAGAGGAGAUGAGACAGUUUGCACAGUUAUUUUAUACUGAGAAAUUGUUUUACAAAACUGCUCAAUGCUUUUAUUAACCUCUAUAAUCCAACCCCACUAGAUUUUUCCAAUAUUUUCUCCCCUUACUACCUUAUCCAUACUUUAGAUUCAGUCUGGGCAAUUACUUUAAGGACCACAAUACCUACCAUGCACUUCAGUGACUAUGCUUUCACUUAUAUUGGUCCUCCUUCCUAAAAUGCCCUUCAAUCUCCUUCUUGAUUAAGGACUGCUAAGUCUGCAAGUGCUUACCAAAUUUGUCUUACUCCUGAAGGCAAAAUACCUUAGUAGCUAAGCAACUAGAUUCUAGUAUUUGACUAUAUGUGCUCAAUUCCUAAUCCUGCUUUUUUUUUUUUUGAGAUGGAAUCUUGCUCUGUUGCCCAGGCUGGAAUGCACUGGGGAGAUCUCAGCUCACUGCAACUUCUGCCUCCCAGGUUCAAGCGACUCUCCCUGCCUCACCCUCCCAAGUAGCUGGGGCACAGGUGCGCACCACCAAGUCCAGCUAAUUUUUGUAUUUUUAAUAGAGACGGGGUUUUGCCAUGUUGGUCAGGCUGGUCUUGAACUCCUGAUCAUAGGUGAUCCACCUCCUCAGCCUCUCAAAUGUGCAAGCCAGAGUGCCCGGCCUAAUCCUGCGUUUUAUUAACUUUUUAACUUUGAGCAAGUUUAUUGCUCCAAGCCUUAAUUUCCUUGUCUAUAAAAUAUUGAUGAUAAUGAUUAGAAUUUACAGCAUUAUUAUGAGAUCAAUUGAUAUGGAAUAUAUCUGGUCCAUGAUGAGUGUUUAAUAGAUGUUGAUGUGAUGGUGAUGACUUCUGUAAUUUGUCUAAACCACACAGUUUUCCUAAUUUGGACUUUUCUACAUCAAUAUGCCCUGAUUCAUAAUUUAAUAGUUAAUGAAAUACACUGUUUUAUUCUUUACUAAUUGUUUCCUAAGUUUUGGAUUGACUCUAAUAGAUUUUAAACUCUUUGAGGGCAGGAGGUAUGUAUUAUAAUUAUUUCUAGGCAUAUAGUAUCUGUUCUAUGAAUACUGAAAUAAUCGAUUAACAUAAAUAAUUAAUCACCUUUCAGCCUUAAAUUAGUUUUAGAAUAAUGCCCAGUUGCUUCUUUGGGGCAGAUAUUUGCAAGCAGUUUGGAACAAUUAUGGGGGCAGUGAAUCAAAAAGAAAUUCUAAAAUUAAAAAAAAAUUUCUACUUUGAUACGGUCACUAAUUUCCAAAACAUCAUUUCCAGAAAGUCAAUAUUUUCCUUUGGUUUUAUUAGAGCUCUGAAAAUCCCUCAUUUUGCAUUUUGUAAAAUUACAGUAAACAUUACCAGUAGUGUGUAAAUCUUCUUGUAAGUAAAAUCUCAUUUCCAGAGAAGUUUUGUUACUGGGUUUUGGACAGAUCACUGGCCGAAAUUUAUCUGUGGAUUAUAGUAGUAACUGGUGUUAUAGGAAUCUUAAUACUGGAUCACACCUGCAUGCCUAAUCCCAGUGUGCUUUUCAUAAGAAACCUCAUUUUUCUUUUUUCAUGUUAGUUUGUAUGAAAUCUUCUGGUUUAUAUUUUUAAAGGGUGAUAUUUCCCAUUAUAUAUGCAUAAAACGUACUUGCAGAGACCUGUUUUCUUAUGCUUGGACUUAUCCCACCCAUUAUACUUAAAAUUUAAUCUCAUCCAUGACUUGUGAUGUGGUCUGUUGCCAGCAGUAUAAGAAUUUCUUACCUCAAGCCAAUUUAUUUAGUAUUUAAAACAUUUGUACUUUCCUUCCAAGGGCAUGUCAGAAUGGGUAUUUCUGUUUCAGAAACUUAAUUAACUUAGUUAAUACCCCUCAGAAAAAUGAAUGGGUAGAUAUGGAAAGAGGUAGAGAAUGCUGAUGGUUGCCUGUGAAGUAGUAUGUGUUUUCCUCUUUUCAUUUACAAGGAAUACCAAUUUUGUUUCUUUCAUCACCCUUUUGUCAUGUAGUCAAGUACCUCAGGGGAAACUGACCUUUGUGAUUCCACUACCCCACUGAAUCAAGUAUUGGUACACAAGUGGGCACGCAACCCAAUUUUAACCAAAAGUAUUUGAAGAAGAGGGGAGUUACUGGACAAAUCAGAAAGAAGUUUUUUCUCUGUUAUGAAAGAGUACUGGAAAGUACUUUAUUUUCUUUUCUUGGCUGUGGUCAUUUUUGGUGUAGAACUUGUAUAUUCUGAAGCUAUCCUGUUCCAUCCCAAGGACCAUAUUAUAUGUGGAGUAGAGCAGAGCUGAGAGAACUGUAGGGGAGCCCAGCCAGAACCAUUGGAUUAAUACCUCCCUGAAGCCCACCUUAUCUCUGAAUUAGCAGCUAUGCAAGCCAACAUUGUCCUUAAUAUUUAAGCCAUUUUGAGUUUUCUAUUACAUGUGACUGAGAGCAUGCUAAAAGAUACAGAAAUAUUCUGAAUUUAUGCACACAAGUAUGUUAAUGAAGUCAUUGCCAUCUAAAAUACGUAUUAAGAGUUUGGGGCGUCUUUGAAUGAAUCACUUAGAAUUAGGAUCAAGUUUCUGACAUUUACAUUUGUUGUUACUGUAUUUUAAUCCUAAAUAGGGGGGAUGAUAAAAUCAAAAGGAGACAAGGAAAAAACAAAGUAUUUAUUGUUAACUAUGACUAUUUCAUCAAAUAUGAUCAUAAUUUAGUUUUUGGCAUACAUUCAAGGGAAUGGAUCUAACCAUAAAUAAAAAGGAAUCCUCUAACCUCUAUGAAUCAAUGUAAGACUAUAUAAUUUUUAAAAAUCUUAUAAAUUCAUGUUGAUUAAAGUUUGAAAGCUAAAAUGCCCUAGAACAUUGAUUUCCAUUCCUUUUGAAUAAUGUCAAAUAUUUUCACAAAGCAAUGCCUUACUACCUCAUCUAAAAUUAUAAUGCUAUUUUAGCUAUUUGUUGAGCAAGAAAAUUCAUAAUGGAAUUCAGUACAGCUUUUUAGUAAAUAUUUAAAUUUAUUUCUUAUUACAGCAAAAACCUAGAGAUUAAAAAAUGGAGUCACAUGGCUAAGCAAGAUGUAUUAUUUAUUCAGUCCAAAGAAAUGCUAUGUUACAUCUGGAUUCAAGGGACUUUGCAGUAAUUCCAAGAGGUAGAAUGUAAGUCCCUGGGGGAAAGAGUCUCCAUGUGUGUUCAGUGUUUUGUGUGUGAUGAAACCUAUAUGUGUUUUCAUUUUCUUUCCUCUAAGAAACUUUUAUAUACAUAUUAACAGUUGCAGAGCGUUAAUGGGAGAAGAGAAAUGAGCAUAAAGUAAAAUGCUAGUAGCAAUGAUUAAUGCAACACUUAUUGUGGCCAAGAAUUUUACAUUUGUUAUCUCAUUUAAGUUUCAUGAAAAUCUCCAUUUACAGAGAAGAAAACUGAGACUGAAACUACCUUGCUCAAGCUCAUCGAGCUAGUAAGUGGAGGAAUUAGGGAUGUGAAACAAGGUCUGGAUGCCUCUGGGGCCCAUGCCCUAAACUAUGAUGUCAUAUCACCUUAGAAUACUAAAUCAGGCUGGGAGUGCUCAGAAGAAUUCAGAGCUUCUGAAUUUCAGACUGGUCCACACUUGACUCAUCUGGCUAUUUAAAGUGAAUGUAGCUUCAGAAUUAGGGAACUUGAUAUCGUGAACCCCCUGCAAAUCCGCAGCAGAGCAGAGAUGCCUAGAUUCUUAAUCCAACUCUGUCAUUUACUGACAAUGUAAAUGACAGGGUUUGGCUGUGUCCCCACCCAAAUCUCAUCUUGAAUUCCCAUAUGUUGUGAAAGGAACCUGGUUGGAGGUAAUUGAGUCAUGGGGGCAGGUCUUUCCCAUGCUAUUCUUGUGAUAGUGAGUAAGGCUCACGAGAUCUGAUGGUUACUGUAAGGGGGAGUUUUCCUGCACAAGCUCUCUUCUCUUGUCUGCCACCAUAUGAGAUGUGCCUUUAACCUUCUUCCAUGAUUGUGAGGCCUCCCCAGCCACGAGGAACUGUAAGUCCAAUAAACUCCUUUCUUUUGUAAAUUGCCCAGUCUUGGGUAUGUCUUUAUGAGCAGUGUGAAAAUGGACUAAUACAGUAACCUUGUAUAUCUUAUUAACCUUCUCCAAGCCCCUAUUUCUAUUUCAUUAGCAUUGGAAGAAUAAAAUCUUCACUGUUUAUGUAAUUGGUUUUGAGAAGUAAGCCAAACUGCAUAUACUAUAAAGUACAAAACAAUAGUAUAUAUUGUGAUUAUUUUGUGAUUUUCUCAAGUAUUCUGCUUUUCCAUGGAAAUAAUAAAUUGUAAUAAUGAUGGACAUCUAUUAUUGUUGCUGUUAUUAUUGCUAAUCCUACAUAAAGUAACAGGAUUGACUAUAUAUUAAUUACGGAGGGAAUAAGAAAAAGGAAAAAAUGUUCCAGGGUUCAUGGUCAUUUUGGGAAACUUGAUAAUUUAGUACUGGAAUAAGACUUUAGGACUGAUCUUGGCAGGAUAGCCAAAGGGCUCUGCCACCAUGAAACUUAGAAAACUCCAUUUUGGCCGG
rnacentral:lncRNA from 1 species